rnacentral:rRNA from 1 species
GGAUCCAGACUUUGAUCAUGGCUCAGGAUGAACGCUAGCUACAGGCUUAACACAUGCAAGACGAGGGGAAACGACAUCGAAAGCUUGCUUUUGAUGGGUGUCGACCGGCGCACAGGUGAGUAACGCGUAUCCAACCUGCCCAUCACUUGGGAAUAACCUUGCGAAAGUAAGACUAAUACCCAAUGAUAUCCCACGAAGGCAUCCGAAUGGGAUUAAAGAUUUAUCGGUGAUGGAUGGGGAUGCGUCUGAUUAGCUUGUUGGCGGGGUAACGGCCCACCAAGGCAACGAUCAGUAGUGGUUCUGAGAGGAAGGUCCCCCACAUUGGAACUGAGACACGGUCCAAACUCCUACGGGAGGCAGCAGUGAGGAAUAUUGGUCAAUGGGCGAGAGCCUGAACCAGCCAAGUAGCGUGCAGGAAGACGGCCCUAUGGGUUGUAAACUGCUUUUAUAAGGGAAUAAAGUGAGUCUCGUGAGACUUUUUGCAUGUACCUUAUGAAUAAGGACCGGCUAAUUCCGUGCCAGCAGCCGCGGUAAUACGGAAGGUCCGGGCGUUAUCCGGAUUUAUUGGGUUUAAAGGGAGCGUAGGCCGGAGAUUAAGCGUGUUGUGAAAUGUAGAGGCUCAACCUCUGCACUGCAGCGCGAACUGGUCUUCUUGAGUACGCACAACGUGGGCGGAAUUCGUGGUGUAGCGGUGAAAUGCUUAGAUAUCACGAAGAACUCCGAUUGCGAAGGCAGCUCACGGGAGCGCAACUGACGCUGAAGCUCGAAAGUGCGGGUAUCGAACAGGAUUAGAUACCCUGGUAGUCCGCACGGUAAACGAUGGAUGCCCGCUGUUGGCCUGAAUAGGUCAGCGGCCAAGCGAAAGCAUUAAGCAUCCCACCUGGGGAGUACGCCGGCAACGGUGCAACUCAAAUGAAUUGACGG